rnacentral:rRNA from 1 species
GGAGGGUGCAAGCGUUGUUCGGAAUCACUGGGCGUAAAGGGCGUGUAGGCGGUCCGCUAAGUCUGAUGUGAAAGCCCGGGGCUCACCCCCGGAAGGGCAUUGGAAACUGGCGGACUCGAGUCCCGGAGAGGAAGGUGGAAUUCCUGGUGUAGCGGUGAAAUGCGUAGAUAUCAGGAGGAAUACCGGUGGCGAAGGCGGCCUUCUGGACGGUGACUGACGCUGAGACGCGAAAGCGUGGGGAGCAAACAGGAUUAGAUGCCCUGGUAGUCCACGCUGUAAACGAUGAGCACUAGGUGUCGUGGGUAUUGACCCCCGCGGUGCCGACGCUAACGCAUUAAGUGCUCCGCCUGGGGACUACGGCCGCAAGGUUA